CUACGGGCCGCAGCAGUGGGGAAUAUUGCACAAUGGGCGCAAGCCUGAUGCAGCCAUGCCGCGUGUAUGAAGAAGGCCUUCGGGUUGUAAAGUACUUUCAGCGGGGAGGAAGGGAGUAAAGUUAAUACCUUUGCUCAUUGACGUUACCCGCGGAAGAAGCACCGGCUAACUCCGUGCCAGCAGCCGCGGUAAUACGGAGGGUGCAAGCGUUAAUCGGAAUUACUGGGCGUAAAGCGCACGCAGGCGGGUUGUUAAGUCAGAUGUGAAAUCCCCGGGCUCAACCUGGGAACUGCAUCUGAUACUGGCAAGCUUGAGUCUCGUAGAGGGGGGUAGAAUUCCAGGUGUAGCGGUGAAAUGCGUAGAGAUCUGGAGGAAUACCGGUGGCGAAGGCGGCCCCCUGGACGAAGACUGACGCUCAGGUGCGAAAGCGUGGGGAGCAAACAGGAUUAGAUACCCCUGUAGUC
rnacentral:rRNA from 1 species